rnacentral:hammerhead_ribozyme from 1 species
GCACUGCAGACGAGUACCAAACAGGACGAAACAGCUGUCCAGUGC